rnacentral:lncRNA from 1 species
GCCUUCCUCAACUCUCAAGAACGGCUUCCGCCGUUUCUGUUAUCUCCGUCGAUCUCAAGAAGGGGAAGUGGUUGAGGCGGAGACCACCACGGGAGCCGUUCCCUUCCGGCUCCAAUUGGAUAAGCCCAUCCCCGUCAAGGUCGAUCCAUCGUAACCCUAACACUUUCUUGAUCUCUUGACUCUUCUUGAUCUGUGAUGUGUCUGCUUCUUUGGCGUAGAUCAGAAUGGGAUCCCGAGAAGAUAUGCUCGCCGCGGUCACCGAGGACUCCAUGAUCGUAACCCUUGCAUAGAUCAAGAUCGGAGCUCACAGAGGACUCCAAGAUCGUCUUGCCUCAUUUCAAGUGGCAGAGGCUUUGGAUUAUCCUCCUCCCCACGGUAAAUUCUUUUGAUCCCGAUACUUCUAUUUCCUGGGGUCGAAAUCUUAGUGUCAUUUGUGGUCUGCGUUUUGCACCUGCUAAAAGAUUUAUGUGGAGUUCAAUCUUUUCUCUGUUUCUUGAUUCUAGUUUUCUCCACUAACUUUCCGUGCUAUGGGAUAAACCACUUAGAAGGAAAUGCGAUUGAUACAUCAGCAUUGAGGUGACGAGGCGUAUUGACAUAGAUAGAUCUGGUUACAUGCAAGAGGAAGAAAAGAGAUCCCGGACUUGUUGGUUUGGUGUUUGAUGGUAAAGACUCAUGAAAUGCAAGUAAAGGAAUGCUAAAGAGGAAACUGGACAUUCUUGGCUACAUAUAUGCCAAUGGCUUUUAGUUGUGAAACCGACAAAUGGUUGUGUCUUUCUUCUUGGUGAUCACCUAAAACAUCCUGAUAUCUAGCCACUUUGAUUACACUAUAGCGGUUUUAAGCAUGGUUUUAGAUAUUGAUCAAGUGCUGGUCUCGACACAUUAUUACACCGGUUGAUGUACUAAUUAAUAGAUGACAAGUUUUAUAAGAAAAAAUAUAAAACAAAAAAUAGAAAACAAAGACUGACUUAUAUUUGAGACCAUGUUUUAAAUGC